UGGGGAAUAUUGGACAAUGGGCGCAAGCCUGAUCCAGCCAUGCCGCGUGAGUGAUGAAGGCCCUAGGGUUGUAAAGCUCUUUCACCGGUGAAGAUAAUGACGGUAACCGGAGAAGAAGCCCCGGCUAACUUCGUGCUAGCAGCCGCGGUAAUACGAAGGGGGCUAGCGUUGUUCGGAUUUACUGGGCGUAAAGCGUACGUAGGCGGACUUUUAAGUCAGAGGUGAAAUCCCGGGGCUCAACCCCGGAACUGCCUUUGAUACUGGAAGUCUUGAGUAUGGUAGAGGUGAGUGGAAUUCCGGGUGUAGAGGUGAAAUUCGUAGAUAUUCGGAGGAACACCAGUGGCGAAGGCGGCUCACUGGACCAUUACUGACGCUGAGGUGCGAAAGCGUGGGGAGCAAACAGG
rnacentral:rRNA from 1 species